GGGGUUGUAGCUCAGUGGCAGAGUGCUUGCCUCCUACGUGUGAGGCACUGGGUUCGAUUCCUAGCACCA
rnacentral:tRNA from 1 species